rnacentral:rRNA from 1 species
GAUCAUGGCUCAGGAUGAACGCUAGCUACAGGCUUAACACGUGCAAGUCGAGGGGCAGCAUGGUCUUAGCUUGCUAAGGCCGAUGGCGACCGGCGCACGGGUGAGUAACACGUAUCCAACCUGCCGUCUACUCUUGGACAGCCUUCUGAAAGGAAGAUUAAUACAAGAUGGCAUCAUGAGUCCGCAUGUUCACAUGAUUAAAGGUAUUCCGGUGGACGAUGGGGA